rnacentral:rRNA from 1 species
CCUACGGGUGGCAGCAGUGAGGAAUAUUGGUCAAUGGGCGGAAGCCUGAACCAGCCAAGUCGCGUGCAGGAUGACGGCCCUACGGGUUGUACACUGCUUUUAUACGGGAAUAACGCGCCUUACGUGUAGGGCUUUGCAUGUACCGUAUGAAUAAGGACCGGCUAAUUCCGUGCCAGCAGCCGCGGUAAUACGGAAGGUCCGGGCGUUAUCCGGAUUUCUUGGGUUUAAAGGGAGCGUAGGCCGGAUGUAAAGCGUGCUGUGAAAGGUCCGGGCUCAACCCGGGCCUUGCAGCGCGAACUGGCGUGAGUGAGUCAACGGAGAGCAGGAGGAAAUCGUCGGGGAGGGGGGAAAUGGUUAGAGAUGACGAAGAACCCCGAUUGCGAAGGCAGCUUGCUGCAGCGGAACUGAAGCUGAGGCUCGAAAGCGCGGGUAACGAACAGGAUUAGAUAACCGAGGAGUC